GUCUGAGAGACAGUGAACUGGCCCCCUGUUUAAAAAAUUUGAGGACCCCUGAUCUGCAUGCGUUGAGAGGCUCAGAACCCAGGAGAGAAGCCAGGGAGACAAAACCAGAUUGGGAGGACCUUCCACAGGCUCCCGUGUGCCCACCAUCUGCAAGCGUAAUCUUCUAGAAGGAAAGGAUCUCUGGGUGACGCUCCCCUGCUUUGGGGACACACGCCGGUACACUUGCAUUCGGUCACCUCUUCUCAACCUUCAGAGGCAGCUGGAGGUCACCAGGGCAUAGGUGGUCCUUGCUCAGCCUUGUUGCCCUGACAUCGUUACUUUUUCACAAGCGCCUGAAUUACAGCCACACUGAACUGGUCGAUUCCCUGAACCUGUCCCCAAGCAUCGCCUGUGUCUUUAUCUCUGAUGCCACCUGCCUACGUGGGACCCUCUCCAAGGCCAAUGGGAUGCCACCUUCUUCACAAAGCCAUUCCUGGACCCCUCGAAUGCACAUAACCCCCCACCCCCACCUCUUGUCUUGGUGGUGCUUAGAACCUCCCUUUUGCAUUUAUUUUGCAGAGGCAAGAAAUUAACACCAGUUGUGCUAUAUGUUGUUAUAAGGUCCAGGGGCGGGUUUUCCUCCGGGACGUGCAUCAGUCAUUUAUAUCCUGGAUUUUUGCUUUCUGCACCAGGGUGAGCGCUACGAAGGCAGCAUCUGUGUUUGACUCCCCCACCCAGGCUCCACGCCUGGAACAGGGUGAGUACCCAGUGCACGGUAGUCUGUUAUGCUUCGCGGGUCCGUACUGCCACUGUGAGCACACGGCCUUGCACACAACCUCCUUGGCCCCGUGUGUCUUUGCAAAUAGCUAUAAGGACACCUGAACUCAGCACUGCGCCCUGCCCCUCUGUCCACCCGUGGAAUGGGUUUCUCUUUGCAGUGAAACCAGGGGCAAGCAGAUUUUCCUUUUUUUGGUGGAUUCAUGAAAUGCCAGGUUUGCUGUGGGAAUCACUUGGGAGCUCAGUUUUGUGCCUUGAAGGAGACGGGUCACAGAUGCUAUAGAAUUGCCAGGACCUCGAUUUCGGCUUUAAGACCGCCUGCUCUCAUUAGAGUAGGCCAGGCCACCUUCUAAGCGAAGCUCUGGGUUUGUGGGACCCUUCCCCGUCUCCCGGCAAGCUGUAGCUGAGACUAAGAGCUGGCCAGUCCCCAUUUCCCAUUCUGUGUUAAGCCACCGUGCGGCGUGGUUUAGGACCCAGCGAGCGUCGCGCUGGUAGGCUGCCGCCACUUCCCAGCAGAAUCGAGCUUGUCACAUUCUUCUGUGGUGUUUUGGGAGAUUCUGCGCCCGUGGGCUGGAGGAGAAAUCCUAGAAUGCCUUCCGAAGAGGAUGUGCGUUGCCAAAACAGAAUUUAUAACUGCGUUGCCAUGGCAACCAACAUGUCACGUUUCCCUCGGCCUAAGAAUAUCUGAAGCUGAAGAUGCUGAGAAUAGCCUAAGUGGAACGGCCGGCGUGCUCCAGCCCCGUGGGGCAGGGGCUAAACCCACGCUCUGGCUCCUAAUCCGCUGCCUUUCCGUGGAUCUCUGCAAAUCCCUGACUCCUACUCUGAAUGUCACCGUGGGGACAUGGGCUUCCGACCCGGAGCAUCCUUCUCUUUUCCUCCCAUCCGAGUCACUAGCCGGGCCCGACCCUGCUUAGCUUCCAAGGUUAGAGGAGAUCAGGUGUGUUUGGGGGUGCCCGGGCCAUGGACCCCUUUCCUUCUGUGGUGUACGCAAGUGCAGAAUGCAGAUGUGAUGGCUGGAGCUGGAGCUGCCAUUUUGGACCAUGAGUUGAACUUAGCUGUGGAGGCCAUGCACUGUGGAACAACCAGAUGGAAGGACCUAACGCCAUCGGGUUUCAUCCCCGCCUAAAGUACCCACCUGACUUUCACAUGGAAGAGAAAUAAACUACCUGAGCCAGUGUUA